rnacentral:rRNA from 1 species
CAAAACAAGCGAUGUGGAGGCAAACCCCUAAAAAUAGGUCUCAGUUCAGAUUGCAGGCUGCAACCCGCCUGCAUGAAGUCGGAAUUGCUAGUAAUCGCGGAUCAGCAUGCCGCGGUGAAUACGUUCCCGGGCCUUGUACACACCGCCCGUCACACCAUGGGAGCCGGUAAUACCCGAAGUCAGUAGUCCAACCUCGUGAGGACGCUGCCGAAGGUAGGAUUGGCGACUGGGGUGAAGUCGUAACAAGGUACC